rnacentral:lncRNA from 1 species
AGAGUUGAUCUUCUGGCUCGGCUAGUUCAUGGAGCCAAGCUCUAAAAAUUUGUUUGAGCUCAGCUAAUUUUUCAACUGAGCCCAAGCUACUCAUGAGCAGCUCGGCUCAUUUGCAGCCCUAGAAGCAAGGUUUCAAACUGAAUAUUUUUGCUGAUAAUAAAUCUAGAAAGAGUAUGUUUCAUUACAAAAGAAUCAAGUGGAUCAUCUAGACAAAACAGGUAAGAAAAAAAAAGAGAGAGAAGAAAAGAGAUAGAUGGAAGCCUUAUUUCAAAUGCUCAUUAAUUUAUUAGUACUAGUAAAACUCCCAUGAUUUUUUUUAUUCCACUAUUUGCCAUGCUUACAAUUUAAAAGUUUAGCAACAUUAUCUUCAUUACAUCACAUGAUUUAAGGCUUGAUGAUGUGUACAACAUAUAGCUUAUAAAAGGAUCUUUCUUCAAGCUCGUGAGUAAUAUAAUAUGAUUUCAGCUUACAUGAGGAAUUCCAUUCAAUUAAUAUGAUUUCCAUGUAC